rnacentral:rRNA from 1 species
GACGAACGCUGGCGGCGUGCUUAACACAUGCAAGUCGAACGGAAAGGCCCUGCUUUUGUGGGGUGCUCGAGUGGCGAACGGGUGAGUAACACGUGAGUAACCUGCCCUUGACUUUGGGAUAACUUCAGGAAACUGGGGCUAAUACCGGAUAGGAGCUCCUGCUGCACGGUGGGGGUUGGAAAGUUUCGGCGGUUGGGGAUGGACUCGCGGCUUAUCAGCUUGUUGGUGGGGUAGUGGCUUACCAAGGCCUUGACGGGUAGCCGGCCUGAGAGGGUGACCGGCCACAUUGGGACUGAGAUACGGCCCAGACUCCUACGGGAGGCAGCAGUGGGGAAUAUUGCACAAUGGGCGGAAGCCUGAUGCAGCAACGCCGCGUGCGGGAUAACGGCCUUCGGGUUGUAAACCGCUUUCGCCUGUGACGAAGCGUGAGUGACGGUAAUGGGUAAAGAAGCACCGGCUAACUACGUGCCAGCAGCCGCGGUGAUACGUAGGGUGCGAGCGUUGUCCGGAUUUAUUGGGCGUAAAGGGCUCGUAGGUGGUUGAUCGCGUCGGAAGUGUAAUCUUGGGGCUUAACCCUGAGCGUGCUUUCGAUACGGGUUGACUUGAGGAAGGUAGGGGAGGAUGGAAUUCCUGGUGGAGCGGUGGAAUGCGCAGAUAUCAGGAGGAACACCAGUGGCGAAGGCGGUUCUCUGGGCCUUUCCUGACGCUGAGGAGCGAAAGCGUGGGGAGCGAACAGGCUUAGAUACCCUGGUAGUCCACGCUGUAAACGGUGGGUACUAGGUGUGGGGUCCAUUCCACGGGUUCCGUGCCGUAGCUAACGCUUUAAGUACCCCGCCUGGGGAGUACGGCCGCAAGGCUAAAACUCAAAGGAAUUGACGGGGCCCCGCACAAGCGGCGGAGCAUGCGGAUUAAUUCGAUGCAACGCGUAGAACCUUACCUGGGUUUGAUAUGGAUCGGGAGUGCUCAGAGAUGGGUGUGCCUCUUUUGGGGUCGGUUCACAGGUGGUGCAUGGCUGUCGUCAGCUCGUGUCGUGAGAUGUUGGGUUAAGUCCCGCAACGAGCGCAACCCUUGUUCACUGUUGCCAGCACGUUAUGGUGGGGACUCAGUGGAGACCGCCGGGGUCAACUCGGAGGAAGGUGGGGAUGACGUCAAGUCAUCAUGCCCCUUAUGUCCAGGGCUUCACGCAUGCUACAAUGGCUGGUACAGAGAGUGGCGAGCCUGUGAGGGUGAGCGAAUCUCGGAAAGCCGGUCUCAGUUCGGAUUGGGGUCUGCAACUCGACCUCAUGAAGUCGGAGUCGCUAGUAAUCGCAGAUCAGCAACGCUGCGGUGAAUACGUUCCCGGGGCU